AGUGAACGCUGGCGGUAGGCCUAACACAUGCAAGUCGAACGGCAGCACAGUAAGAGCUUGCUCUUACGGGUAGCGAGUGGCGGACGGGUGAGGAAUACAUCGGAAUCUACUUUUUCGUGGGGGAUAACGUAGGGAAACUUACGCUAAUACCGCAUACGACCUACGGGUGAAAGCAUGGGAUCUUCGGACCUUGCGCGAUUGAAUUAGCCGAUGUCGGAUUAGCUAGUUGGCGGGGUAAAGGCCCACCAAGGCGACGAUCCGUAGCUGGUCUGAGAGGAUGAUCAGCCACACUGGAACUGAGACACGGUCCAGACUCCUACGGGAGGCAGCAGUGGGGAAUAUUGGACAAUGGGCGCAAGCCUGAUCCAGCCAUACCGCGUGGGUGAAGAAGGCCUUCGGGUUGUAAAGCCCUUUUGUUGGGAAAGAAAAGCAGCAGGUUAAUACCCCGCUGUUCUGACGGUACCCAAAGAAUAAGCACCGGCUAACUUCGUG
rnacentral:rRNA from 1 species